CUACGGGUGGCUCCAGUGGGGAAUAUUGCACAAUGGACGAAAGUCUGAUGCGGCAACGCCGCGUGGAGGAUGACACAUUUCGGUGCGUAAACUCCUUUUAUAUAGGAAGAUAAUGACGGUACUAUAUGAAUAAGCACCGGCUAACUCCGUGCCAGCAGCCGCGGUAAUACGGAGGGCGCAAGCGUUACUCGGAAUCACUGGGCGUAAAGAGCGUGUAGGCGGAUAGAUAAGUCAGGAGUGAAAUCCUAUGGCUCAACCAUAGAACUGCUCUUGAAACUGUCUAUCUAGAAUAUGGGAGAGGUAGAUGGAAUUUCUGGUGUAGGGGUAAGAUCCGUAGAGAUCAGAAGGAAUACCGAUUGCGAAGGCGAUCUACUGGAACAUUAUUGACGCUGAGACGCGAAAGCGUGGGGAGCAAACAGGAUUAGAUACCCCGGUAGUC
rnacentral:rRNA from 1 species